rnacentral:rRNA from 1 species
UACGUAGGGUGCAAGCGUUGUCCGGAAUUACUGGGUGUAAAGGGUCCGCAGGCGGGCAAGCAAGUCGGUGGUGAAAGUUCACGGCUCAACCGUGAAAUUGCCUUCGAUACUGCUUGUCUUGAGUUCGAGAGAGGAUAAUGGAAUUCAUGGUGUAGCGGUGAAAUGUGUAGAGAUCAUGAAGAACACCAGUAGCGAAGGCGGUUAUCUGGCUCGAUACUGACGCUCAGGGACGAAAGCAUGGGUAGCAAACAGG